AGGAGUGUAGCUCAAUUGGUAGAGCACCGGUCUCCAAAACCGGGGGUUGCAGGUUCAAGUCCUGUCACUCCUGCGA
rnacentral:tRNA from 5 species